CGAGCGAAGCACUUUGCUUAGAUUCUUCGGAUGAAGAGGAUUGUGACUGAGCGGCGGACGGGUGAGUAACGCGUGGGUAACCUGCCUCAUACAGGGGGAUAACAGUUAGAAAUGACUGCUAAUACCGCAUAAGACCACAGCACCGCAUGGUGCGGGGGUAAAAACUCCGGUGGUAUGAGAUGGACCCGCGUCUGAUUAGCUAGUUGGUAAGGUAACGGCUUACCAAGGCGACGAUCAGUAGCCGACCUGAGAGGGUGACCGGCCACAUUGGGACUGAGACACGGCCCAAACUCCUACGGGAGGCAGCAGUGGGGAAUAUUGCACAAUGGGGGAAACCCUGAUGCAGCGACGCCGCGUGAGCGAAGAAGUAUUUCGGUAUGUAAAGCUCUAUCAGCAGGGAAGAAAAUGACGGUACCUGACUAAGAAGCACCGGCUAAAUACGUGCCAGCAGCCGCGGUAAUACGUAUGGUGCAAGCGUUAUCCGGAUUUACUGGGUGUAAAGGGAGCGUAGACGGAUGGGCAAGUCUGAUGUGAAAACCCGGGGCUCAACCCCGGGACUGCAUUGGAAACUGUUCAUCUAGAGUGCUGGAGAGGUAAGUGGAAUUCCUAGUGUAGCGGUGAAAUGCGUAGAUAUUAGGAGGAACACCAGUGGCGAAGGCGGCUUACUGGACAGUAACUGACGUUGAGGCUCGAAAAGCGUGGGGAGCAAACAGG
rnacentral:rRNA from 1 species